AUGAUUCGUGGGACGUCCUGCCGGUGGUGGCGAGUCGAAGGCGUGCACCCGUUGUGGUUUCCACUUCGGUUCUUGCGCGCCGGAGGCGGACCCCGAUGAAAUCCUACCGCGGUGCUCUUCGCCGAGUGUCGAGGUGGGCCGGCACGUUUACUUUGAACAAAUUAGAGUGCUUAAAGCAGGCCUGUUGCGCCUGAAUACUGUGUGCAUGGAAUAAUGGAAUAGGACCUCGGUUCUAUUUUGUUGGUUUUCGGAACCCGAGGUAAUGAUUAAUAGGGACAGGCGGGGGCAUUCGUAUUGCGACGUUAGAGGUGAAAUUCUUGGAUCGUCGCAAGACGGACCGAAGCGAAAGCAUUUGCCAAGUAUGUUUUCAUUAAUCAAGAACGAAAGUUAGAGGUUCGAAGGCGAUCAGAUACCGCCCUAGUUCUAACCAUAAACGAUGCCAGCUAGCGAUCCGCCGAAGUUCCUCCGAUGACUCGGCGGGCAGCUCCCGGGAAACCAAAGCUUUUGGGUUCCGGGGGAAGUAUGGUUGCAAAGCUGAGACUUAAGGAAUUGACGGAAGG
rnacentral:rRNA from 1 species